AAAAUAAAAAAAUAAAAAAAAAUAGUUGCCUUACCUUCUUAGACCAUUCACUCAUAUUAGUUGCCUCCAACCCAUAAGCUAAGCCAUUGAAAUGAAUAUGUAAUUGUUGUUGCUUCGUGAAAUAUUAUAAGUUUGGUUGGGCUUUUUAAACAUGGAGAUUAGUUUCCUCAUUUCUGUUUUAGCUCAAACCUUUGAUAGUUUUAAGUACGGUCACAUUGUGCAUGAGGCUUAUUCUCAGGCAAGUGUCACAUGGUGCCUCAUGUUUCAAGUUUUUAUGGAUAACAAGUCUAGAACUUCUAUACUUAUGUAUAUGAAUGGGUGAUUGCACAAAUAUUACUUGUAUAUUAGAGUAUUUGAAUUUUAUUAUGUUUUAAGCUUUGUUUGUUUGACAAAAUAUUUAUUGGAAAAAAUUUGUUGCAUGUUUUGGCACUUGGGUUAUUUAGGAAAAUUGGUUAAUGGAAAAUAUUUUACUGAUCAAAGGGAACACUAAGACAUUUUUUAGGAUUGUGACCAAACAAUAGAAUAUAAGUUAUUUUCUCAAAAAAUGUUAUCUUGGAAAAUAUUCUCCACAAACAAGUUUUAUUUUCCGUGAAACAAACGGAGCCUUAGUGAUUUAAUAUACUUUAAUGAGAUUUUUGGAUAGCUUAAUGUGAGGUAGACAUAGUUUAAAUUGUAAACUUAGUUGUUUCUGCUUUAUUAUACAUGCUUCAUGCCUUGCAAGUUCAGUGAAGGCCAAUCUGGUGAUAGGGAAGGAGUUAGUU
rnacentral:misc_RNA from 1 species